GCCCGGGGGGGGGACACCCGGGGGACACGGACACUGGUGGGUGGUUGGGUGUAAUUAGCGCGGGCCGCGCGCAAUGGAGCAAGCGAGGGGGAAAGGGGAAGAGGAGAGCGAGCGGGGGAGGGGGAGUUAAAAAAAAAAAAGGGGGGGGAGAUUUUAAGGAGAGGAAACGGGCCGCGGAGACGGGCUGACUGUCCGUCUGUCUGCCUGCCCGCGGUGCCCCGGCUGCCUGGCCCCCGCCGCAGUCAGAAAUUCACACAAAAUGGCGGCGCGGCCCGGACGGGCUGGGAGGCUGAGGCGGGAGGAAGGGCGAGGUGGGAGGGGAACUGAGAGGUGGAGGCCGCGUCACGUGGCGGAGAGGGUACGGGCCACUCGCUCGAAGGGCGGCGGAAAGAGCCGAACGGAGAGAGUGAGGCCGACGGAAGGCGGGAAAAGCCGAGAGUUGCAGAGCCGGAGACGGGGAAGAGGCGGAAAGAGCCGAAGACGGCGGUGGGGGCGGGGGCUAGAAGGAAAGUGGGCGGGGCCCCCAGAGCCGGAAAAAGCCGAAGCGGAUCGGGACCGAAAACAACACGGAACUGUGGUGAUCCGGAAAGAUCCGAAGGUAGCGUCGGUGUGGGUGGCAGGAGGCGGAAACAGCCGAAAGAGGCCGCGCGCGGGUAAUGGGAUUUAGAAGGAAGGAGCUGAAGGGCGGGCUAGGGAGGCGAUUAAUGAAGAGGAAACGAUUUUGAGGAAUUCGCCCAAGAGCAAGCGGGAAGAACCGAAAAUUACUAGCUUGAAGGAAGGCGAGAAGAGUCGAAAGUUUUAGAGUUGUUUUCUGCUGGACAAAACUCAUCUGUAACUUGAGAAUCUUCCAUAACUUUCCCAAGUCUAUACCCUCAUCAACAAUUACAUAGUAACACACAAAGUAACAUCUGGAAUAACAGAAGGUCUUGGUAGACAGCGCUCUACUGUGGAGAAACCUCACCUGCUGAGAUUUGCUGGUCUUUUUAUUUUCCUCAUAACCUAAAACUGGAUGGCCCUCUAGGAUUGUGGAAUGGCCUGUAGAAGCUUCAGAGAUGGCGCCAGAUGAACACUAUGCCUCAAAAAGACAGAGUACUGUCCUCCUAGAUAUGGUCUGUGUUCUCAAGCAGUGUUGUUUCGUCUGUAAUGAGAAUGCGUGGGGUUCAGAAAUCAAGGCAUAGAAUGACACCCUGCACAAUUACACAUAAUGACCCUGCUCUACUGGCUCUUGAUAUGUUAAAAAACAAACAAACAAAAAACCUUCAUUGGACAAUUUAGUUAUCAGCAGGUGCCAACAUUUUAUUAUAAGCAUGCAUGCAAAGAAAAAAAAGUCGCUUGUAGGCCAAUUAAAAGAUUUGCUCUUGGUCGGGACAUUCUUUAUGACAGGAAAACAUUUCUGAGCUGUGCAACAUUGAAUUAAACAUGUCAGAGGUUGGAAGGAGGAGAUAAGAGAGGUUAAUCAGUUAACAUCUGCAGAGCAAAACGACAAAAGACCUCUUAGAUUCUUGAAUGUACAAACGUAUGUUAAAACUAUGAAUUAAUGUCCAGGUGGCUAUUUCUGAGAUUAUCCAGAGAGAGAAUAGCCGAGACAGCUGGUGUCUGCCAGUUGGAGAAUUGCUUGGUGUCCGAGUAGAGUGACCAGAGCAGAGGAUAAAAACAGGAGUUCCCUUAGAAUCACUGAAAAAUCACCUGGCCAUACGAACUACAGCUGAAUAUAUGCCUACGCUGAUUCCACAAUUUCAUUCAAAAGUAUUUAUCCAAUAGAAAUGAAUACCAAAAGGUAUAAACAAGAAUGUUCACAGCAGCACUGUGAAAUAGGUCCUCACUGGGAACUACCUAAAUGCUCAUAAGUAGGCGAACAGACAAGUAAAUUGUAGCAUGUUCAUCGCUUUUGAGAAUCCCUGGAUCGCUGGGUUAGAAGACCCAAAUGGCAGAGUCCUUUGCACUACAUCUUGGACCAGCUAGGAGACCUCCUCUUGCAUGGGGCCCCAGCAGCCUUAGAGCUUUCUCUGCUGAUGAAUGAAAGCAAGUCUCCCAACCAUCAUACAAAUUGCCGCCAAAAUUCCAAGAGGGCCACCAAGCAUUGUGUUGUUGUUAUUGUUUUAAGUGUGUUGGUGGAAGGAGAGGUUAAAGUGCAAGUUUCAGCAACUUGCCCUUUAUUUUGGGAAAAAAAAUUUCAAACAUACCUCUUCCUCUGGAUCCCAAAAACGUUUUUGAGCUGGCAGAUCCCUGUAUUUUUCUGAGGUGGAACCUUCUGUAAUGCCGACAAGUCAGAUCAAUGCUUCCAUGGUACCUGUUUCUUUCUAUUCUUGGAGCAUCAUUAUUCUAGCAAAGAAUUUUAUUUUUCUAGUUCCUGGGGUGGCUCUAGGGUGGGUUCUUUAUGCCGUGGAUGAGCAGUCCUUUACAGAGAAGACACUCAACAGAGUGUGGAAGAAACCCCAACAGCUGGCUCCAACCUCUGGAAUCCUCUCCCCGACCCCCUGGGGAAGAAAGGAGGCCAUUGGCAAAAGAGAGGCAUUAUGAUGUGUUGGAUCCUGCUGAUUGCCAACCCAAUAACUAUUUCCCCUUUCUUCCUCACAAAUCCAACCCUGGAUUUAUUGGGGAGAUGGGGAUAAUGAAGUCCUGAUUGAUUGAUUCGUCUACCUGGUUCUCGAGAGAUGAUGUCGCCCCCUAGAGGACAUUUUGGAAGUCAUUGAGGGAAAUUAAAUUUAGUCGUCAACUGGUUCUCAAGGGGACAGUAUUGCUCCCUAGGGGGCGUUUUGGAAAUUUGAGGGGAGUUUUACCAGCAUCAUGAUAAUGAGCAGGUUGUUACUGGCACAGGAGAACAGAGACCGGGGAUGUCAAAAUGUCCUGCAACAUGACAUUGGUAUUGAAUGAUCACUUCAUGAACUAAGUUAACGAUAAUUCUUAAAUAGUCGAAAGCCCUGUUUAUACUGUUAUAUUAAGCUGCAAUGCCAGACUUUUCCAGUUCUUUUGGAACUGUGUGCAUAGCAAAGUCAUGGUAGACUCGGGUAUACCACCACAUCUGUGUAAUGAAAAUGUUUUGGAACUAGAAAUGGUGGUUAUACAGCAUGGUGAGUGUGCUAAAUGCCACUGAACUGUUCACUUCACAAAAUGGUUUAUGUUAUGUUAUGCGAAUUUCAUCUCAAUAAAAAAGUUUAAAAACGU